AGAGUUUGAUCCUGGCUCAGGACGAACGCUGGCGGCGUGCUUAACACAUGCAAGUCAAGGGGAAAGUUUUGCUUCGGCGGGAUGAGUAUACUGGCGGACGGGUGAGUAACGCGUAGGCGACCUACCCAUAAGAGAGGGAUAACCCAGCGAAAGUUGGACUAAUACCUUAUAAUACUAUUUUAUUGCAUGAUUUUAUAGUCAAAGGGUGCCAAUUUAUUGGUAUUGCUUAUGGAUGGGCCUGCGUUCCAUUAGUUAGUUGGUAGGGUAACGGCUUACCAAGGCGACGAUGGAUAGCUGGUUUGAGAGAGCGAUCAGCCACACUGGGACUGAGAUACGGCCCAGACUCCUACGGGAGGCAGCAGUGAGGAAUAUUGCGCAAUGGGCGAAAGCCUGACGCAGCAACGCCGCGUGGGGGAUGAAGCUUUAUGGAGUGUAAACCCCUGUAAGUAGGGACGAAAGUUACCUAUACGAAUAGGAUGGGUAUUUGACGGUACCUACAGAGUAAGCUCCGGCUAACUCCGUGCCAGCAGCCGCGGUAAUACGGGGGGAGCAAGCGUUGUCCGGAAUUACUGGGCGUAAAGGGCGUGUAGGCGGUAUUGUAAGUCAGAUGUAAAAGGCUACGGCUUAACCGUAGAUUGUCAUUUGAAACUGCAGUACUUGAGUGCGAGAGAGGGUAGUGGAAUUCCCAGUGUAGCGGUGAAAUGCGUAGAUAUUGGGAAGAACACCAGUAGCGAAGGCGGCUACCUGGCUCGUAACUGACGCUAAUGCGCGAAAGCGUGGGGAGCGAACAGGAUUAGAUACCCUGGUAGUCCACGCCGUAAACGAUGAACACUAGGUGUUGGUCCCGACGUGUCGGGAUCGGUGCCGCAGCAAACGCAUUAAGUGUUCCGCCUGGGGAGUACGAUCGCAAGGUUGAAACUCAAAGGAAUUGACGGGGGCCCGCACAAGCGGUGGAGCAUGUGGUUUAAUUCGAUGCAACGCGAAGAACCUUACCUAGGUUUGACAUCCCGGGAAUUUUGUGGAAACACGAAAGUGCCCUUCGGGGAGCCCGGUGACAGGUGCUGCAUGGCUGUCGUCAGCUCGUGUCGUGAGAUGUUGGGUUAAGUCCCGCAACGAGCGCAACCCCUCUCUUUAGUUACCAGCAUUUAGUUGGGGACUCUAAAGAUACUGCCCCGGUUAACGGGGAGGAAGGUGGGGAUGACGUCAAGUCCUCAUGGCCUUUAUGCUUAGGGCUACACACGUGCUACAAUGGACUGUACAAAGGGUUGCCAGCCCGCGAGGGUGAGCCAAUCCCAGAAAGCAGUUCGUAGUUCGGAUUGGAGUCUGCAACUCGACUCCAUGAAGCUGGAAUCGCUAGUAAUCGUGGAUCAGAACGCCACGGUGAAUACGUUCCCGGGCCUUGUACACACCGCCCGUCACACCAUGAGAGUUGGUUGUACCAGAAGUCGCUGGGCAAACCUUUCGAGGGUGCAGGCGCCUAAGGUAUGGCUGAUGAUUGGGGUGAAGUCGUAACAAGGUA
rnacentral:rRNA from 1 species